UCGAUUACGAUUCUAGUGCAGUAAAGCUGAUCAAGGAACUGGGAACUAAUUAAAAACAACUUGUCUGACUCAUAAGAAGCAACGCUUCAAAUUUUAGGUAAAACAAAGUGCUAAAUGCUUGCCUUAACUUUAUUUUAUUUUAUUUUUUACGGCAAACGGCUAUUCUAUUACUCAAACUUGAGGUGGUUUGGGGAGCCAGACCGGAAUAGAACAACCAAUAAAACAUAAGGAUCUAUGAAAAGAACGUGCAUUCCUAGCUAAAGAGUCAGCAAUCUCAUUCUGCGUCCUUGGAAAGUAGCUGAUGUUGAAGUCCGAAAAACAUAACCGAAGAGUUUGAAUGAUUUCCAGCUCAGUUGAGAAGUUGGAUCAAUCUUGUGGUUGCUCUAACAUUGCAAUCAAAUCUUUGCAGUCCGUCCCAAACCUCUGACAGGUCGAGUGUUGAAUCAUACUCUCCAUUGCCCACUUUAGCGCUUCCAGUUCCGAGUGUAGAGCUGUCUCCCUCCUCUGCAAGUUCCUUGACCCCAUGAGCUGUAUCUUCCCCAAUGUAUCCUUCCAAACCCAUCAUAUUCCACUAAACUUAGCUGUGGAGGUCCAUGAACCAUCCACAAUACAAAUAUUAUUCAAACUUAAGGCUUGUGUUUCUUCAUUAGUUUGUACAUUUGGCAGAUUCGGUAUAGUAUCUCUUGUAUUAUACCAAGCUUGGCACUCUCCCUCUGCAUACCUAACUAGCUCCAGUGGGUCUGAUUUCUUAUAGUUUAUUCUAAUUUGAUAUUCUUGAGCUUCAGUUUUGAACCAGCAUAGGCGGGAUACUCUGUUCAUGUCUGAAGAAAUUAUUUGGAUCAACCUUUGUUUUAACCUUCACCAACCUUUCGAAAUUUCCUUUGAAGUAACUAGCUCCCCAGACUUGAGCUUGGUUGAUGGUCGACUUACAGCCCUUUUUGUUCUAUCCAAGGUCUAGAUCACGGUAGUUCACGUAGGCUUGUCGUGGAUUCGCCGAGACAUAAGGAGUCAUGAAACUGUAGAGAUCUCUGAUCCAUUUGAUGUGCCUGCUUGCUCUCCUGUCACUGAGGCCAAUUCGUUACGUACUGAAUCUUGAAUAUGACUCCUUUCCUAUGCGGAAAAUGGAUCUGUGAUUCAAGGAUUUUCGCCAUCAUUCCUCCGUAAGGAUUCCACAUCAUCAUCGGAUUAUCUUCUUUAAGCAACUUCUUGAAGAUCCCUUUAAGCCCUGACUCAGGAAUAGGCUUCUUCAUGAAAUCGGAUUUGGCUUUGAAGUUGUUCUUCGGGAAAGGAGAUUUCCCUUGAAGCAAUACCUUGGUAGGACUGCGGCUCGCGAAUCCAGAGAUGUAAACAAUGGAAUCAAGCCAGCUCAUUUCGGUACAAUCUUUCGGCGUUAGAUCUAGCUUCGGAAAGCUCUUGUUCAUAACUUUCUUCAACAUGCCUUUGUUGCCAAGAAACACAGCGUUAUAUGACGUCAUGGCGGUCUUGCUUCCGUUGUUUGCAGAUACGUUGAAGAUCACCCGGAUGAAUAGCUUGUCGACAAGCUUGUCCGCGACCAUUUGCCACUUUGAAAGAAUCUUGUUUCCAGGGUCUUGUUGUAACGUUUUGGUGACGGUGAAGACGGUUACCGUCUUAGGAACAGGAACAAGCUUGAUCUUCCAUUCUAGAAUUAUCCCGAAACUGCGUCCAGCGCCUCCUCGAAUCGCCCAAAACGUAUCCUCGCCCAUCGCUUUUCGGUCGAGUAUUUUACCGUUGGCGUCGACGAUCUUUGCGUCUAGAACGUUAUCUGCACCGAGACCGUAUUUCCUCAUCAUGGAACCAUAUGCACCGCCGGUUACGUGCCCGCCUAUUCCUAAACUGGAGCACAAACCGGCCGGAAAACCAUGUACUCUGCUCUUCUCUGCAAUCCUACAGGUAACAAAAAAAGUUUCUUGAUCAAAUAUACAGUCAAAAGAUAGAUCCUAGCGUCACAAUUCCAUUUUUGACUAAAUUUCGGAAUAAACUGCUCUUUAGAUGCGAUAAUUUCUUAGUAAUCUUUCUAUAAUAGCGAAAAUUUAUUUGCUGUCUUUUUAUUUACCUGUAACCGUAGCACUGUCUUUAAUAUUAAUGUUGACUUUUCUCAGCUUGGACAGGUCCAUCACUAUAAAAGGUUUUUCGAUCUCCGAGACAUAAGACAAGCCUUCGUAGUCGUGACCGCCGCUUCUGACGCGCACAUGAGUUCCAAGUUUCUUGGAACAGAUGAUGGAAGCUUGGACGUGAGACUCGUGGAGCGGUUUGAAUAUGAAUCCCGGUUUAGGCAUGGACUUUGUCAAGUACCUGAGAUUCUGAGCUGUCGACUGAAGGACUUCGCUGAACAUGGAAACGUUUUUGGCAGGAGCGAAAAACGUACUUUCGAGUGGGAAAGAAACAUGAAUUGAUCUUGGAGGGAAGCUGAAGAAGUUGUUGGUGUUAUGGUGUAGAAUGAGAAAUAUAAGGCGAAAAUCAAAAGAAAAGAAAAUGCAGGGGAUGGUUUUGAAAUUCCCAUUUCUCUCUUUAAGGAAGCUCUGCUCUAUUGUUUGAUCCCAAUCUGCAAAAAUUUAGUCUAUAACUAUAUGUAUUUUGACAAUAUUUUUUAAAGCAAUGUCAUUUUUAAGAUGAAAAGACAUUUUUUUAGGAUGAAAAGUUACAACUUUUGACAUUGAGAAAUAUACAUAUUUACACAUUUUGAUAACUUAUUUUUAACAAAUGCAAUUUUUAGGACCACAAGACACAUUUUUGUACAUUUAAAAAAAAAAAUUUAACCAAUGCAACUCUUAGAUGAAAAGAACAUUAUUAAGAAAAUAUAAAUUUAUACACUUUUAUAAAUAUGUUAUUUAAAUAAUGAAACUUUUAAAAUGAAAAGAUACAUUUUUAUAGUGAAAAGACACAACCUUUAACAUUAAUUUGGAUUUCUAUUAUUCAUAGACAGGAAAUGACUAUUUAUUUAAAUAUGUAUAUUUUCUACUAGUUUUAUAAGUUAUAUUUAAACAUAUAUGUGUAUAUAUAUAUAUAUGUAUAUAUAUUUUAAUAAAUUUCAGUUUUAUUUUAUUUUCAUUCAGAUAUGUUAAAUUGGUAAAAAUCAAUAUGUUAAUUUACUUAAUGAGCCGAUAAAUUUAAAUAAAAUUCUAGUCAACUCAUUAUAUAUCAACUAAAAAUAUAUUUGAUUAGUAUUGUUUUAGAUUUAUAUUUUUAGGGCACACUUUCAAAUAAUUUAAUAAUAUAUAUAUGUGUAUAUAUAACAACUUUUUAGAAACAUAAAUAAAAAGUCAAUUAUUACUAUAUUUUUUUUAAAUUGAAAAAAAUAAAAUUUUAAAAUAAAUUUACACUAAUGGCUGAUAUAUAAGUUAUUAAUUAUUACCUUAUUUAUAAAUCUUGAAUUAAACAUUUAUGAAAAGAAAUUAUACAUGUCACUAUCAAGUGAUGCCAUGUCAUAAUUUUUUAAACCGUGUUAUCUUUUUAGUGAAAAAAUGUGCUGAUGACGUAUGUCAUAAUCACUUCUUAAAUAAUGUAUAAGAGAUUUUUCGAGAUUGUCUGAAAUAAAGGAAGAAAAAGAAACAUUGUUCCAUUUAUUCGAGCUUGUUGUAUGAUGAUACUUAUUUAAAGAGUACUCCCUCCGUUCUUUAAUGAUAGACUUUUUAGAAGAAAAAAAAUUGUUUCAGAAAAAUGUAUUUUUUGUGUUUUCUAUGAAAAAAAUCGUAUUUUUUGUGUUUUCAAAAAAAUUAGUUGACUUUAUUGAAUUUUUUUUUUAUCGAAAAUUGAAAAUUACAGAAAAUGAUACAUUUUAUUAUGGUAGUUUAACGUGUUUUAUUAAUAUGUGUAAAAAUACUAAAAAGUUGGAACAGAGGGAGUAUUAUAUCACCAGCUUAGCUUCAGUAAAGAGAUGGGAUGCUUUGUUCGUGUCGGAAGAAGUUCUCUGGAUCAGAUUUUGUUUUAAUCUUCACCAAUCUGUUGAAAUUGUCUUUGAAGUACUUUGCUCCCCAGACUUGAGCUUGUUUGAGGCUUGUCUUUGAGUUGUUGCUGUUCUGUCCCAGGUCUAGAUCUCUGUAGUUCACAUAUGCCUGUCUUGGGUUACUUGAGACAUAAGGCGUCAUGUAAUUGUACAACUCCCUGAUCCAUUUGAUACGCAUGUCUGGUCUCUUCUCGGUGUCUGACCAGCUCCUGUAAUACAGAAUCAUGAAGCUGGUUCCGCUUCUAUGCGGAAACGGGAUCUCAGAUUCAGGGAUUUUAUCCAUCAUUCCACCGUAUGGAGUCCAUACCAUUAGCGCAGCUUCUUCUUCAAGAAUCUUCUUGAUCAUCCCUUUAAGACCUAAAAUAGGAAUAGGUUCUUUAGCAAAAUCGGAUUUGGCUUUGAAGUAAACUUCUCCCAUAGGUGACUUUGCUUGAAGCAAAACUUCAGGAGGAGGAGGAGUGCUUGUCGGGAAUCCAGAGUUGUAAAUAACGGAUUCGAUCCAGUUCACUUCUAUACAAUCCUCCUGAGUUAGUCCUAGUUCUGGAAAAUCCUUGUGCAUAACCUCCAUCAAGUUGCCUUUCUCGCCAAGAAACUGACCUAUGUAUGACAUCGCCACUGUCUUGUUUUCAUUGUUUCCAGCUAUGGUGAAGAACACGCGUAGGAGGAGAUCUUCAACAAGCUUGUCCGCAACUUGUUGCCACUUUGAAAGAAUCUUGAAUCCUGGGUCUUGGUCUAGUGUUUUGGUGACCGUGAAGACAGUUAGGGUUUGAGGAACUGGAACAAGCUUGAUCUUCCAUGACAAAAUUAUCCCGAAACUCCCUCCUGCGCCUCCUCUAAUCGCCCAAAACAUAUCCUCUCCCAUCGCGGUUCUGUCUAGUAACUUGCCGUUAGCAUCAACUAUCUUUGCGUCUAGAACAUUAUCAGCAGCAAGACCAUACUUUCUCAUCAAGGAACCGUAUGCACCGCCUGUUAUAUGCCCACCAAUGCCUAAGCUCGGGUAUAUACCAGCAGGACAUCCAUGAAUCUUGCUCUUCUCUGAAAUUCUACAGUUAACAAACAAAAGAUUCUAUAGUCAAAUAUUGUUUACUCUUGUGUGUGGUUACGUUUUGUCAUUGCAUAUUGUCAAGUCAAACAUAUAUAAGAGUUUUAAGUAUUUAGAAAACGUUAAAAUAACUCGUUCAAAAAAACGUUAAAUUAACAUAAUUCAACCUAUGUUUUAGUUAGACUUAGGGGGUGACUGGUUUUCCCGCUACCACCCGCAAACGCAGCUUUUGCGGUUGGUAGCGGUUGUCGGCGGUUUGCAACAAUCACUCAAAUCGCUCUAAACCGUUUCAAACCGCUCCGAAUCUCAUAAAUUCAAAAGCUGGCUCCAACUAGCGUUUGCGGUUGCGGGCGGUUGCGGGAGGGUAAAAAAUUUUUUCGCUUUUUUUAAAUAAUAUAUAUACAAAAGUAAAAAUAUUUAAUAAAAAUUUUAAAAUUGAAAUUAUGAAAAUAUUAAAAUAUAUCUAUUAUAUUUUAAUUAAUAUUAUAAAAUUUUAUAAUAAAAACAUUUUCAAUAAAUUUUCAAAAAUUAAAAUUAUAACUUUCUAAAUAUAAAUUUUAUAUUGAUUAUAAUUUUAUAAUUUUUGAUAUUUUUAUAAGUAUAUUAAAUGUAAAUAUUAUUAAUUUAUUAUUUGACAGAUACCGCAUUUGGUAGUUAACCAGUCAUAAGUCACCCGCAAACGCACCAAUUUUUAACCGCAGUACCAGUCGUACAAAUCUCUUAAAACCGCUAGAAACCGCAACCGCCCGCAUCCACAAACUCCCGCAACCGCAACCGCAACCACUGCGUUUGAACCAGUCAGGCCCUUAUUCUUGGGUUCACUCUCUAGGGUAAACCUGUAGGUUCACCAACCAAUAGGAUUAUGUUAUUUCAAAUUUGAUAUCUUUUAUAAAAGAAAACAAAAUAUUGUCAAGUUAUAUUAUGUUUUUAAAAUAAAAAGAUAAAAAUUAAAAAAAAAAUUGUAGUAAUUACAAAAAAUAUUUUUAACGUCGUCAGGAAAAAACUAAACCCUAAAUCCUAAUCCCUAAACCCUAAAUUCGAAACCCUAAACCCUUGGAUAAACCCUAAACCCUUGGAUAAAUCAAAAACACUAAACACUAAAACAUUCAAGGGUUUAGGAUUUUUGUGUUUAGUGUUUUUGAUUUAGAGUUUAUGAUUUAUUCAAGGGUUUAUGAUUUACCCAAGGGUUUAGGAUUUACCCAAGGGUUUAGGGUUUCGGAUUUAGGGUUUAGGAAUUAAGAUUUAGGGUUUAGGGAUUAGGAUUUAGGGUUUAGUGUUUUGCUGACGACGUUAACAAUAUUUUAAAAAAAAAAAUCUUUUUUUUUUGUAACUAUUAUUUUUUUUACCUUUUUAUUUUAAAAACAUAAUAUAACUUGACAAUAUUUUGUUUCCUUUUUUAGAAGAUAUCGAAUUUGAAAUAAUGAAAUCCUAUUGGUUGGAACCUAGAGGUUCACCUUAGGGGGUAAACCCAAGAAUUACUCUUUAGUUUAUAUAUUUUUUACUCUAUUUUCUAGUUUUUUUUAAAAAAAAUUCAGAUCUGAAAUCAAACCUUUAGUUUAUCAGUGUAAUAUCGAAAUAGAACAUGAGCUACGCGUUUAAAAAAAAUGAGGUGAACAAGAGUUUUGAUGAUAUUAUUAACCAAUAAUCAAUAAUCCAAAGUUUUGAGUAAGACAAGUAGUAGAUAAACCUUUUUCGGUAAUUCAGGAAUAUAAUAUUUGCAUAGCAAAUUUUCAUAAUAUAUAAACGCAAACACAUAAAUAAAUUCAGUAACAAAAAAAAACAUAAAUAAAUUUGUGUUUAAAACAAAACGAGACUUACCUGUAGUAAAGCUCACCGACUGUAGAACCAGCUUGAACCCAAACACUAUUGUCUUCAAUAUCAACAUUGAUCUGUCUCAGUUUCGACAGAUCAAUAAUUAUAAACGGUGUUUCUAUAUAUGAAACAUAGGACAAGCCUUCAAAAUCGUGACCGCCGCUUCUAACGCGGUGAUGAAUUCCCAGUUUCUUUGAACAUAUGAUGGAAGCUUGGACGUGAGAUUCAUGAGCCGGUUUGAAUAUGAAAUCUGGUUUAGGCAUUGAUGUGGUCAAGUAUCGUUGAUUUUGAGCCGUCGAGUUAAGGACUUCAAUGAACAUCGAGGCGUUCCUAUCAGGAGUGAAGAAUGUUUUGUCCAGUAGAAAAUCGACAUUUGUGUUUUGGUGGAGACAAUUGAUGAAGUCAUCUUGUAAGGAGUUUGAAGAAGUUGAUGCUACUGUGUAGAAAGAAAAAUAUAGGGCUAAAAACGAUAUAUAAGAAACUGCAGGGGCUAAUUUUGAAACUCUCAUCCCUGCAACUAAAAGCAGAAUCUGCGAGGACAAGAUGGAAUAUGUUAUGAGUGUUCUUUCGUCAGGGAAGAAAUUUAUAUGAAAGAUUGUGAUCAAAUUGUGUGAUUAUUUUUAUCAAAAAAAAUUGUGUAAUUAUUUCAAAAUUCAAAUUCAAUGGUUAUGUCUACAUCGAGUACGACUAUUUUGUCACAUGAUGUGACAAAAAAAACACUAAGUUCAGUAAUAUCUUAACAACGUGACAACAGGCGUGACAAUCAAACGACCCACUUUUGCAUAACUUUGUUAACUCGCGUUGUAAAGUUCGAAGGGAAGUUGAAGAAAUUGGCAUUAUUGUGUAUACAAAAGAAAAUACAGACUUAAGAACAGAAUACAAGAAAAUGCAUGGAGUGGUUCUGAAAUUCCCAUCCCUGCAGCCUACUACUAGAAAAAGGCCAAAAAAACACAAUUAGGCUUCAAGAUGGAAAUGAAUGUCAGUUUUUUUUUGUCAAUGAAAAAAAUUGUUCAUAUUUACACUUCAUUACAAGUCCCGGCUCAAACUUUCUAAUGGUCCGGUGGAAAAAAAAAAUUUCCAGUAAUUGUUAAAAAUUUUGGGCUCUUUUUUCUGAAACUAGGGUCCCAAAACCAACUAAAUUUUUUGAAAAAUUGUUGGACCUUGUGUUUUUGCUCCACCAGCACUACCCUAGAACCGGACCUAAUUACAACUAAAUCCAUUUAGCAUUGGUAAUUAUGUAACAAUAGUUUAAAUUUAACUUGUGAUCAGGAUAAAUCUCUUUUUGAGGGUCCCUGGAUAAUGCUUUUUUCAGCUUUUUAGUUGAAGUUAUAAUUAACAUAUUUACAAUAUUUGUAUAAAGUUAUUUUUAAUAAAUAUUGUUUUGAAAAUAUAUAAACUAAAUUUAGUUAAAAUACAUUUAUAUUUAAAUUUUGGUUUGUCAAAGUUAAUAUGAUUUUAUUCGUCAAAGCAAAUCAAUCAAACUUACACUUCUAUACAUAUACGAUCUAACGAAAACAAAUCGUUUUAAGUUGUUUUUUUAACACUGGGUAUUCAUUAGAGUAUGUAGGCAAAGAAAAUUAUAUAAGAACAUUAAAUCCACAAGAAAAAAACUGAUACCAGUCAAAGAGGAAGUAUACUUGAGAAUAAAGAAAAACAAUAGGAUGAGGUUUCCACAAAGAGGAUUCAAUUCACGGAAAAGAGAUAAGGAUGCCCAGAGGCUAGGCUACACUACGUUAGGUAAGGGUGGGCAGCUGCCCACCAUGGAAUUUUAAAGUCAAGUGUAUUUUUUGUACUGAUUAAAACAAUUUAUACUUUCUUAUAAAAAUUUGAGUAAAACAAUUUGGGUAAAACAAUUUAUAUUUUUUGUACUGGUUAAAACAAUUUAUAUUUUUUGUACUGAAUUUGUGAUUUGAGUAAAAUUUGAUUAAAACAAUUUAUAUUUUUUAUAUUAAUACUAACAGCAGAGUAAAACAAUUUAUAUUUUCUUAUAAAAAUUUAAUUGUGAAAAUAUUUGAUUUUAAGUAAUAAAAUAAAAAGUCAAAGUAAUACUCUCUCUGUUCCUGAAAUUAUGAUUUUCUAGAUUUAUUUUUUGUUUCAAAAUGAUAGAUUUUCUAAAAUUUUAAGGUACUUUUAGUAGUUUUUUUUUUUUUUGUUUUUUUUUUGUAACACAUAAUUCAUUAAACUUAAAUCAGUUAGUUGGGGCCAUAAGUGUUCCCUCAACUACAAUUGUUUCAGCUGCUAAUAAAGCAGACUUUGCUAGCAUAUCAGCCUGACCAUUUCUCUCCCGAGAAAUCCAGACAAAGGAGACAAAAUCGAAAAUAGACGCAAAAGAUAUAAUAUCAGCAAGAAUUCCAUAGAGCUCAGGUAUGCAGCUUCCAGAGUUUAAAGCAUCUAUUAGUUGGGACGAGUCCGCCUCGAAACAAACCACCUUCAGCUCUUCUCUAGUUCCCGCUUUGACAGCUUCGAGCAGAGCUAAAGCUUCCGCCAUUGGAGCUGAAGUCACUUGAGAGGUACUACACUUGAACGUCCUAAUACCUGAAGGGGAGUGGAUAACCCAGCCUAAGCCCGCCGCUGUGCCUCGAGGGUUCCAGGCUGCAUCGGAUCUGAUGGUCACAGCACCAGGUGGGAGGUGGGCUUCUGGCAUCUUUCUUCGGGGGUGAGAAGGCUUCUGCUCCUGUCGCUGCUGUGAGUCCCAUUCUUUUGCUAAAGAUAUUGCUGUUGAUAGGGUGUCCUCUGGCGAUCCCGAAUGGCCUUCAAAGACAAAUUUGUUGCGCGCUUUCCACAAGUGCCAGAGGAUCCACAGAGCAAGUGUAUCAGAGACUACCCCCGAGGGGGGGAGACAAGUUUUGGAGCAGAUAGCCGCCCAAUUUGCUGCCAAAUCUACCAUUCCGCUGCUCUCCACCUCGGCCUUGAAAGGCGCAAGACUCCACACCUUUUGGGCAUAUGGACAGUGAAAAAACAGAUGAAUUAUAGAUUCGGAGCCUCCACAGCGCUUACAUCGCGGGUCUAGCGGCACAUGACGCUCAACUAGUCGUUCGCCCACAGGAAGAGCACCUUUUAGCAGCUUCCAAGAGAAGAGCUUAACUUUUGGAGCUACAUCGAGUCUCCAGAUGCUCUUAUUCCAGUUGAUAGAAUCUUCUGCUACAAGUGCAUUUCCAGCCUCAAGAAUGUCUACUUCAGAGAAAUAACCUGACUUGACCGAGUACUCUCCUGUCUUCGUUCCCAGCCAAAUAAGUUUAUCCGGAACCCCGGUUUGACUUGUCCUUAUCCUCUGUAUCUUUUCCUCAUACCCAGGGAGGUAGAAUUGAAUUUUUUGGAGGUCCCAGUCACAUGAUUCAGCCUGGAACAGGUCUGAAACCUUGAGCUCCAAGAGAGAUUCACAUACUGGUCCCAUUGGGCUUUCUUUGUGGCAGGGGUUUAGCCAUGGGUCUCUCCAAACCGAGAUAGACUGGCCAUUGCCUACUAGCCAUCCCAUGUUCUUAAGCAACAGGUCCCUCCCCUUCAAAAUACUUCGCCAUCCAUGCGACAUAGCUGAGGUUUCAGAGGCGAGAAGGAUGUUAUUUUCAGGGCAAUAUUUUCCGAAGAGCACUCUACCAAGCAGGCAGUUGGGAUUUUGUAACAAGCGCCAGCCUACUUUUGCUAGUAAUGCAACAUUAUAGCUUUGAAAAUCCCGGAAGCCCAAGCCUCCUGCUGCUUUCGGUUUAGCCAUCGAGUCCCAUGAAAUCCAUGCUAUCUUCCGGGUGCUUUCGUUGUUAUCCCACCAGUACCUCGUCACUGCAGACUGCAGACGAUUGCAGAGCGAGACUGGCAGUUCAAAGUACGACAUGGAGUAGGAAGGAACCGCUGUUAGCACACUUUGGAUCAUGACCAAUUUCCCUGUUGAAGAUAAGUACUUAUUGGACCAGCUGCGAGCCUUUUGCUUGACCCGAUCGACGAUCGAGGCAAACACAUCUUUCUUUCUUCGGCCAAACUGUUCGGGUAAGCCCAAAUAUUUCCCGGUCCCUCCUUCCUUGGUGAUUUGGAGUUCGCCUUUGAUCAGGGUCUUGAGUGCCGCUGGGGUUUUCCGCGCAAAGGUAAUGGCUGAUUUAUCCUUAUUGAUCGACUGCCCCGAAGCUGCUUCAUAUUGCUGUAAAAUGCUCUUGAGAGCUGUACAGUUUCCACUACUUGCUUCUAGGAAGAACAUAGUGUCGUCAGCAAAAAGAAGGUGGUUUAUCCGGGGGCUAGCCCUCGCCACCUGCAAUCCCUUGAGAGAGCCAUCUUCUUGCGCUCUGUUACAUAGUCCCGAGAGGACCUCACUACACAUGAUAAAGAUGUAGGGAGAAAGAGGGUCUCCUUGACGGAUACCUCUACUCGGUACUACCUUCCCUCUAGGCAAGCCGUUAAUGAGGAAGGAGUAUGUAACUGAGGAGAUACACUGCAUUACACAGUUAACGAGCCUUUGGUGGAAUCCCAACCGAAGCAUCACGAGCGAAAUAAAUUCCCAUUCCAACCUGUCAUAGGCCUUGCUCAUGUCAGUCUUGACGGCCAUGGCACAUCUCUGUUCCGCUUUCGACGUCUUGAGAUAGUGGAGAACCUCAUGUGUAAUUAAAACGUUGUCGCCAAUAGCACGUCCCGGGACAAAAGCCGACUGAUUCUCCGAGAUGAGUGAGUCCAUCAAUGGCUGAAGUCUCCGGGUAAGAAUCUUGGAAUAGAUCUUGUAGUACACAUUGCACAAUGCAAUAGGCCGGUAAUCUGAGACUUUUUGCGGGUUUGUGAUCUUUGGAAUGAGACGGAUGUGAGUGUCGUUGAUGCUCUCGGGGAGUUCUCCCCCGGCGAAAAAGCCUUGCACUUCUCUAACAAUGUCCGGUCCAACAUCAUCCCAAUGAGUGUGGAAAAAUCCAGCUGAGAAACCAUCCGGGCCCGGGGCUUUUUCGGCAUUGAUUGAAAAUGCUGCCUCACGAAUCUCCUCAGCAGCUGGAAUGGCAAUGAGCCUGGAAUUUGCAUCGUCUGUGACUAUCCUCUGCAGUGCCCGGCUUACUGUGUCUGUCCUCUCACCCGGAGAAGAGGCAAAUAGACUCUCGAAGUAAGACCCUAUCGUCUCUACAAUUUCUUCCUCAGUGUGAACCAUUUGUCCAUCUUCCUUUUCUAGUACCGAGAAUGAGUUUGCUCUUUUCCGGUUCUUUGUAGUGGCAUGAAAGAAACCCGUAUUGCGAUCUCCGAGCUUGAGCCACAGCAGUCUACUGCGUUGCUUCCAAAAAGCUUCUUCCGCUAGGUAGGCCGCAUUUAGCUUAGACGAAAUAUCCUGGAUCAAGACAGUGUCGUUGACCGGACUAGCCAGUGCUGCAUUCAGUUCCCGUUUCUUUUGUUCAAUCACCUCUUGGCUGUUCCUCUGCUGAGCCCGGCUCCAAGCAGAUAUAGCACUCCGUGCUGACGAUAGCUUUUCAAAGACAGAAAGGUUUCCGGAAUCCUGCCAAGCCUCAGAUAUGACUUUCUUGGCUGCCUCAUCUUUGCAUAGCCGGCGAUCAUAUCUAAACAGUCCCCUCCGUCUUCUUGCUCCAUUGUCAAAGACGGUUAUUAGCGGUUUAUGAUCUGAAGUCAAAUCCGCCUCUAGAUAUUGACAUCUGGCCUUGGAGAAUCGUUCGGCCCAAAGAGAAUUAGCGAUAGUUCUGUCCAAUCUGCAUCUGACCAGGUGAUCUCCUCUCUUUCCUCGCCAAGAUAGUGGAUCGCCCGAGUGCUGCAGAUCGAACAGGUCUCCCUCCGAAAAGAAAGUACGGAGAUCAGUAAAGGACCCUUCUGGUCGCUCCGUCCCUCCUUCCUUUUCGUCGUUACUCAAUAUGUCGUUGAGAUCACCUGUAACCAGCCAAGCCUCUUCUCGGAUAAGCGACUUUGUUACAAGUUGAUCCCACAGCAAAUUCCUCUGGCUUCUAUCCGUGCUAGCAUGUACAAAUGAAGCAUAAAAUUUCUUUCCUUCAAACUCGACAUGUGUGUCAAUUACAUUUGCACUGGAUUCUAAAAUUUGAAUGUUUAUUCCCUGUUUCCAGAGCAGAACGAGCCCCCCAGCACCGUGCCCGGUUGGUGCAACGAGGUGGUAAUUGUCAUAUCUCAAGUGCUCCAGCUUUUUGAGCACCACGCUGUCGGGAUUUUUUGAUUCCAUUAGGAAGAUGAUAUCCGGAUUAAACUUUUUUGAUACCUCUCCCAAUCUACGAACUGUCCGGGGAUUCCCCAACCCCUGACAGUUCCAGCUCGUUAUUGUUAAGGAGCGAGGUGGGAUGGAGCCCGAAAAUCCAUCCUACGUCUGGCCGACGGUGGUAUCAAGUUAACUAUCGGAAUGUUGUCAGUAGACGAAGGAGUGUCCUGCUGUGAGGCUCUAGUGUGGCUUGCUCGAGCCGCUUUCCUUGGUCUCUCUGAUUCUCCAGUAACUCUCCUCCGGGAGGUGGUGGGCUUAGGAGUGACCUUCCUUUUGCGCAAACCCGAUCCCGGUGCCAGAGCAGGGCUAGCAAUCUUUUUGCCGCCUGGUGGCCUACCAGGUUUCCUUUUUUGCUUCCGAGGUUCCUCCCGCGUCGGAGGGAGAUCAAUGUUGCUUGUUCCCUCGAGAGUUGGUCCAAGCCUAGCUGCCAUUGGCAGCCUCUCAGUGUGACCUCCUUCAGAUUGGAUAUUUGUAACUACUUGUUCCUCCUGAGCUUGACCUAUUGGACCUAGCCGUGCUGUUGCAGGUAAGCGUUCAUUGGAACUUGGUUCCUGAGAAGUUCUAGCUGUAGUUCCUUCAUUCUCCCGAGCCAUAGAGGCUUUAACCAUCUGCAUCGCAGAUUCUUCAACUUGGCCUCGCUCCUCUGCUUGCCUUAAUCUUUCCUUACGAGCUGCACUCUCCAUCGGGUCUGCACAACUUGCAUAUUGUGUCAUAUAAUUCCUUAUUUCUCCCAUUGCAGCAUCCACUGCUUCUUUGGGUAGGUUUUCAUUUUCCUUUCGGAGGGGAAUCCCCCUAUCUAACUGAUGAGACCCGUUUCUUGGUGAAGCUGGCGUAGAUUGUCUUGGGGUUAUGUAAGUAGCUGGAGAGAGUCGCUCCUCAUCUCUAGCCCGGUGCUCUUCAUUAUAUCUAGACUUGUGGGAGUGGUCUGAUUGGGAAUCCCCAAUAACUGUAUCUAACUGUUUACGAGACUCUGUUUUGUUGAGGAGACUUCGCAGGUCUUCCUUCCGAGCUGUGGAAUCCCUUACAAAGCUAUCUUUUGGUCUCCAGGAUCUUUUCUGAUACUCACCUCCCUCACGGGGAGGGUCACGGGAUCUGUAUCUGGUAGACAUGGCUCCAUGUGUUGGGUUGUGAGAGGAGUAUCGGGUUGAGCUUCUACUCUGAAGGGACCGACUAUAGUCCAGUCUACGAGGGGCAUGUUCCCACCUUUUAUCAGUGGAGGGAUUGGGCUCACGAAUUCCACUCCUAGGCACCAAGUGUUGAGCUUCCUUGUUCUUUGGCUCAUCGGUUUGAUUCGCAAGUAGAGCUCUCUUUAGUGCCUUAGCUUCCAGACAAUCACGGAGCUCAUGGUCCAAUCUUCCACAUUGCGAGCAGUGUCUCUCCAGUCUCUCAUAGACUAGGACUGCAGCAACUUCAUCACCAUUCGGAUACUCUAGGAUGGAUUUUUUGAUGAGGGGAAGUCUCCCAUUGACAUGGACUCGCAUGCGGAUGGAGGUAGAAGUGAUCUCUGCAAUUUCGAACGUUCCAAUGUCUUUUCCAAUGCUGCGGAUGGUUUCUUCUGUCCAUAGGUGGAUCGGAACUCCGUGGAUUUUGAUCCAGAACGGAAUCAUUGAUGGAAACUCCGGUGAGCAGGUUGGUUCCCACCUUUGUAGGAUAAUCAUCCACCUAGCAAAGUGGUAUGGUUGCUUUUCCAGGACCGUAAGAAGAUCCGACUCGAGUUCAAAUUGGAAUUGGAACAUUCCCAAGCCAAGGUCAGAACCCGUCGGGGGAAUAUCCGCUUUCCAGUGCUCUGUAAAAAACGGGAGAAGCGACCACACCUUCUGGACAGAUGGGUUUGUGACUCUACCAAUAAUGGUUAGAGAAUGCUUCUGCUUCAACGCAGUGAUGUCAGGUUCCAUAACCCUGACUCUAGCUUUUCGAGGGGCAGGGAGGUGCUCUAGCGCAACGGCUUUCCCCUUUUCAGAGGAUGAGAGGCGUCUCUGCAUCAGGAAGCUUUAGGUACAACUCCGAUGUUGUGAGGUUGUCAGCGAGUAUCUCAAAGGAAGAAGAGGUAACCGUCACGAAGUUGGAUUGUAGCAAGAGGUGAAGUGAAGGAGCGGUAUUUAAUGCUGAAAAAUUAAUUAUUUUUUUAGGAUGCGUGAAUACUAUAGAAAAUCAUUUUUUUCAGGAAGAGAAAGAGUAGUAAACAGUGAAAAUAAAUGCUGAAUUAGGUGAGCAAAAUCUAUUUUUUUUUGAACGACUACUUCAUUAAAAAGAAAGGAGAUUACACAUAGAUUGUUUCAACUAAUACUCUCUUAGCAAGAGCAUCAGCGGCCAUAUUGUCUUUGCGAGAAAUAAAAAUGAAGGAGGAAACAGAGAGGUAACAAGACAAAUUUAGGAUAUCCUGUAGGAUUCCGCAAAGUUCCUUGAUUGGGUCUCUCCUAUUGAUAGCUCUGAUGAUGAUCUGAGCGUCUGAUUUGAUGCAUAGUUUGUUGAAGCCAAGAGCUUGCGCAUGGAGUAAGGCUUCUCUUAACGCCAUGCCCUCUGCCACUAAGGGGGAGGGGACGUAGAGUUCGAGCGAGGUUCCCCGUGCCAGUAUCCUGCCUGUGUUAUCCGAGAACAGCCAAGCCAACCCCGCUUUCUGUUCUGAUUCCUUCCAAGCUGCAUCUGUGUUCACCGUGAUGAUAUCUGGGUUCAUUUGGGGAGGAGGCCUUUGGACAAUUGUGUUCUGCUCAGUGGCCAGACCAGUGAUAGACUGUUCCUGAGCUGUUUGCCAUUCCAGUGCGUCCGCAAUCGCUUUCGAGAGGACCUCCUUCGCCUCAAAACACCUGUUCUGAAAUAUCUUAUGGUUUCUAGCAAUCCAUAGGUUCCAGCAUAUCCAUGGAAAGAGAGACCCCAUUCUCAUUCCUAUGGGAGGAAGGUUUCGGGCCUUCUUUGAGUCUUUGAGGGCUCUUUGGAAAUCUGCAGAAUCAAUUAUGUUCAUCACAUUAUGGAUCGGGGUUUGGUUCCAAAUCUGUCUCGCAAAAGGACAUGUCAAGAACAGAUGGUUCGCCGUCUCUCGAUCUCCACAAUGAGUGCAAGCGAGGCACGUUGCUGGGAUACCUCUUGAAGCUAGCGUAUCUCCCAACGGUAGCGCACGCUGUACUAUCUUCCAUAGGAAAACUUUUAUCUUGGGUGGGAUGGGGAGCAACCAAAUGUCUGCCAUCCAGUCACAUAUCAUCGGUUGAGGGGGUGGACUCUGUUCGGGCUGUAACUGCUUCAGGGCUGUAUGAUAACCUGUCUUUGUAGAGUAUUCACCACUUUUAGUCGCUAACCAGCAAUGCUUAUCUUGGCCUCCUGUUCUACUUGGUUUAAGGAGAAGGAUUUUAUGAGCUUCAUGGGGAAGCAGCAAAUCCACUUUAUCUCGGUCCCAAGCUCCUGUUGGUUGAGUUAACAAGUGUGAAACUGUUAGGUCCUUUGAAGAGAGGUUCGGCGGGCCAAUCGGUCUAGUUGGUACAUCCAGUGAAAUCCACGGUUCUUCCCAAAUCUUUGUACUCUCUCCAUUUCCUAUGGUUUUACCCAUGUUCUGCAGUAAGAGAUCUCUUCCGCAUAGGAUGCUUCUCCAUCCAUGUGAACAUGAGCUUGAAGCUGGUACAGCCAGGAACGAGGAAGUGGUACAAUAUUUUCCUGUCAUCACUUUGGCAAGUAGACAGUCUGGAUUGAUUAAAAUCCGCCACCCCUGCUUAGCUAGUAGGGCAUCAUUGAAAGCCUCAACGUCUCUCACUCCUAACCCUCCUUCCGAUUUUGGUUUUGCAACUCGCGACCAAGCGAUCCAGCACAUCUUCCGCGUCUCCGGGUUAUCAUCCCACCAGUAUCUCGUGAAGGCUGAUUGUAUCCUAUUGGUGAGACCUUUCGGCAGUUUAAAAGCCAUCAUAGAGAAAGAGGGAAUUGGUAGCAGGACUGACUGCAACAUGGUCAGUUUUCCUCCGGCCGAGAGCUUACGAGUACUCCAGCUUGCCGCUUUUUGUCGUAUACGAUCCACAAUCGAGGUGAAAAGAUCUCUCUUCCUCCUCCCAAAGUGCUCUGGCAAGCCUAGAUACUUUCCUACCCCCCCCUUCCUUAGCAAUACCCAGGCAUUCUUUAACCCUUUCUCUCACUUCAGCUGGCGCCUUUUUGGAGAAAGUGAUCGCAGAUUUCUCUGUGUUGAUCAUUUGACCAGAUGCAGCUUCAUAUUUCUUCAGGACUUCCUUUAGUGCAUUGACACUACUGAUGGUCGUUUUGGCAAAGAACAUCGUGUCAUCAGCGAAUAAUAAGUGAUUUAUUCUUGGACUAGCUCUUGCGACCCGAACCCCUGCCAGUGAACCUCUUCGCUGCGCCUCCAUGCAUAAACCCGAUAAAACCUCGCUACAAAGUAUGAAGAUGUAAGGGGACAGCGGGUCUCCCUGCCGGAUGCCUCGAGUUGGGUAUAUCAUUCCUUGGACCUCGCCGUUGAAUAAGACAGAGUAUGUCACUGUCGUGAUGCAACUCAUAAUCCAACCGCAGAAAACCUCAUGGAAUCCAAAUCUCCGGAGCACCGCCUCAAUAAAUUUCCACUCUAGCCUAUCAUAAGCCUUGCUCAUGUCUGUUUUCACAGCCAUAGAGCAAUGUUUUGUAGCUCCCGAUCUCUUGAGAAAAUGAAGAGUUUCGUGUGUUAUCAUUUUGUUGUCUGUAAUCACUCUGUUUGGCACAAAAGCAGAUUGAUUUUCGGAGAUGAUGGAGUCCAGUACCGGUUGCAGCCUUCUCGUGAUGAUUUUCGAAAUAAUCUUGUAAUAGACGUUAGUCAAAGCUAUCGGUCUAUAAUCUGCCACUGUCUUUGGUGCUGUGAUCUUUGGUAUUAGGCGCAGGUGAGUAUGGUUGAUGUUCUGUGGGAGAGUUCCAUGUCUGAACUCUAUAUAAUGUAUUUUUUUUGUUUAUUUGCGGGCGGGUUUACUCUAGUAGUUUUAUAUAGAAGAGUGAAUUGGUUCAAAAUACAUUAAAAAAUAUCUUAUGUUUACACAUAUGUGGUGGCAUAAAACAUAAACACUAACCACGUGUGUUACACAAGACGACUGGUAAAUAGUCCACUCGAACCAAACUUUAACAAAUUGAGAACGAGAACAAGCUUUCGAUUACGAUUCUAGUGUAGUAAAGUUGAUCAAGGAACUGGGAAUUAAUUAAAAACAACUUGUCUGACUCAUAAGAAGCAACGCUUCAAAUUUUAGGUAAAACAAAGUGCUACAUGCUUGCCUUAACUUUAUUAGAAGAAACAUUAUCUGAUUUCUUCUAGUUUAUUCUAAUUUGAUAUUCUUGAGCUUCAGUUUUGAACCAGCAUAGGUGGGAUACUCU
rnacentral:lncRNA from 1 species